UACAAACACUAAGAUACUAAUAUAGCUGCAGAUCUGAAUGUGCAACAGUGAGUUCACUGAACAUUUCGACUCAAAAUCAAACAUUAAAAUAACUUUACUUAAUGAAAAGUAUAGUAUGAAAAAAAGAGCAAUUAUUUUUAUUAGAGGAGGUGGGGGUGGGAGAGGGACAAAAUCUUUCUAAAUUGUUUGAGCAAACAGGGAAAACAUGCCAUAUGAAUAAAGCACUGAAUUUAAAAGAUCUCAAGUGGUAUGCAAAAUUCCCAUGACCAUUUCAAUGACCACUUCCCUGACCAUGACCACUUCCCUGGCUGCUUCCCUGACCAUGACCACUUCCCUGGCCGCUUCCCUAACCAUAACCGCUUCCCUGACCAUGACCACUUCCCUGGCCGCUUCCCUGACCAUGACCACUUCCCUGACCAUAACCGCUUCCCUGACCAUGACCACUUCCCUGACCGCUUCCCUGGCCAUAACCACUUCCCUGGCCAUAACCGCUUCCCUGACCAUGGCCUCUUCCCUGACCAUAAACGCUUCCCUGACCAUGGCUGCUUCCCUGACCAUAACCACUUCCCUGACCACUUCCCUAACCAUGGCUGCUUCCCUGACCGCUUCCCUGACAAUGGCUGCUUCCCUGACCCUGGCCUGACCGCUUGCCUGGCACUGGCCGCUUCCCUGGCCAUAACCACUUCCCUGACCAUGGCCGCUUCCCUGGCCAUAACCGCUUCCCUGACCCAUAACCGCUUCCCUGGCCAUAACCGCUCCCCUAACCAUGGCCGCUUCCCUGACCAUAGCCGCUUCCCUGGCCAUAACCGCUUCCCUGGCCAUAACCACUUCCCUGACCAUGGCCGCUUCCCCGACCGCUUCCCUGACCAUGACCACUUCCCCGACCGCUUCCCUGACCAUGGCCUCUUCCCGGACCGCUUCCCUGACCAUGGCCGCUUGUCUGGCCCUGGCCGCUUUCCUGACCCUGGCCUCUUGCCUGGCAACUUGCCCGACCUCUUCCCUGACCACGUGGUUCACUGCAUGCAAAGCCACCGGUGGUUGGGCAACACUUCUGUGUGGCAGGACACUGGCCAUCAUGGAAACAGCUUUCAGCACACAGUGGAAUCAUCUCCGGUAUGGGACACUGACCCGGCUUCACUGCGGGGACACAUAUAGUCAGCUUUAGUUUGUGCAUAUAGACAGUAUGCCACUUCAAUAUACAGCACGAAACACUCAUUCACCUACAGAGUGAAUUAUAGUCUAAGUAUUAUUCCUCUUUAUUUUGUAAAGCCAUCCUGUGCUUAAAACUAUCCAAAGGGAUGAAUUCAAACCUACUUUAGAC
rnacentral:lncRNA from 1 species